rnacentral:rRNA from 1 species
UACGUAGGGAGCAAGCGUUGUCCGGAAUCAUUGGGCGUAAAGCGCGCGUAGGUGGCCUCGUAAGUCCGCUGUGAAAGUCAAAGGCUCAACCUUUGAAAGCCGGUGGAUACUGUGAGGCUAGAGUACGGAAGAGGCGAGUGGAAUUCCUGGUGUAGCGGUGGAAUGCGCAGAUAUCAGGAAGAACACCCGUGGCGAAGGCGGUUCUCUGGGACGGUACUGACGCUGAGACGCGAAAGCAUGGGGAGCGAACAGG